CAGUCGCGUUGUCUAGGGAUCAACCUUGCUUUUGUGGGGUGUACUUCUCAGUAAAUGGGCCAGCAUCAAUUUCGGGCGCCGGAAAAGGAUUUGAGGAAUGUGACAGCUUGCUGUGUUAUAGCCUCUUGUCGUACACGGUGCUUGGGAUUGAGGACUGCAGCACGCCUUUCGGUCGGGGUUCUCCCACGCCACGUGCUUAGGAUGCUGGCGUAAUGGCUUUAAACGCCCGUCUUGAAACACGGACCAAGGAGUCUAACAUAUAUGCG
rnacentral:rRNA from 1 species